AAAUUGAAGAGUUUGAUCAUGGCUCAGAUUGAACGCUGGCGGCAAGCCUAACACAUGCAAGUCGAGCGGCAGCGAAAUAAAAAGAAUUGUAAAAUUUUUUUUAUUGUCGGCAAGCGGCGGACGGGUGAGUAAUAUCUGGGGAUCUGCCUUUUGGAGGGGGAUAACUAUUGGAAACGAUAGCUAAUACCGCAUGAUGUCUUUACGACUAAAGUAGGGGAUUUUAUAUUUAUAUAGAACCUUAUGCCAUUAGAUGAACCCAGACGGGAUUAGCUAGUAGGUAGAGUAAAAGCCUACCUAGGCUACGAUCCCUAGCUGGUCUGAGAGGAUGAUCAGCCACACUGGAACUGAGACACGGUCCAGACUCCUACGGGAGGCAGCAGUGGGGAAUAUUGCACAAUGGGCGAAAGCCUGAUGCAGCUAUGCCGCGUGUAUGAAGAAGGCCUUAGGGUUGUAAAGUACUUUCAACAAGAAAGAAAAGAUAGAAUCUAAUAAAUUUUAUCGUUGACGUUACUUGUAAAAGAAGCACCGGCUAACUCCGUGCCAGCAGCCGCGGUAAUACGGAGGGUGCGAGCGUUAAUCGGAAUUACUGGGCGUAAAGAGCACGUAGGCUGUUAAUUAAGUCAGGUGUGAAAUCCCUAAGCUUAACUUAGGAACUGCAUUUGAAACUGAUUAACUUGAGUUUCGUAGAGGGGGGUAGAAUUCCAGGUGUAGCGGUGAAAUGCGUAGAUAUCUGGAGGAAUACCAGUGGCGAAGGCGACCCCCUGGACGAAUACUGACGCUCAGGUGCGAAAGCAUGGGGAGCAAACAGGAUUAGAUACCCUGGUAGUCCAUGCUGUAAACAAUGUCGACUUGAAGGUUGUAAGCUUGACUUAUAGCUUUCGUAGCUAACGCGUUAAGUCGACCGCCUGGGGAGUACGACCGCAAGGUUAAAACUCAAAUGAAUUGACGGGGGCCCGCACAAGCGGUGGAGCAUGUGGUUUAAUUCGAUGCAACGCGAAAAACCUUACCUGGUCUUGACAUCCAUGGAAUUUAAUAGAGAUAUUUUAGUGCCUUCGGGAACCAUGAGACAGGUGCUGCAUGGCUGUCGUCAGCUCGUGUUGUGAAAUGUUGGGUUAAGUCCCGCAACGAGCGCAACCCUUAUCCUUUGUUGCCAUCAGUUCGGCUGGGAACUCAAAGGAGACUGCCGGUGAUAAACCGGAGGAAGGUGAGGACGACGUCAAGUCAUCAUGGCCCUUACGACCAGGGCUACACACGUGCUACAAUGGUAUAUACAAAGGGAAGCAUCCUCGCAAGAGUAAGCGAAUCUCACAAAAUAUAUCUUAGUUCGGAUUGGAGUCUGCAACUCGACUCUAUGAAGUCGGAAUCGCUAGUAAUCGUAGAUCAGAAUGCUACGGUGAAUACGUUCCCGGGCCUUGUACACACCGCCCGUCACACCAUGGAAGUGGGUUGUAAAAGAAGUAAGUUGCUUAACCUUUAAUUUUCUAAGGAGGGCGCUUACCACUUUAUGAUUCAUAACUGGGGUGAAGUCGUAACAAGGUAACCGUAGGGGAACCUGUGGUUGGAUCACCUCCUUU
rnacentral:rRNA from 1 species